UAAGGAAUAUUGGUCAAUGGACGCAAGUCUGAACCAGCCAUGCCGCGUGGAGGAUUAAGGCCCUCUGGGUUGUAAACCGCUUUUCUGGGGGAAGAGCAAGGACGGUACCUCAGGAAUAAGUCUCGGCUAACUACGUGCCAGCAGCCGCGGUAAAACGUAGGAGGCGAGCGUUAUCCGGAUUUACUGGGCGUAAAGCGCACGCAGGCGGCUCUGUUAGUCGGACGUGAAAGCUCUAGGCUUAACCGGGAGAGGCCGUUCGAUACUGCGGGGCUUGAGGUAGGGAGAGGAAUGCGGAAUUCCCGGUGUAGUGGUGAAAUACGUAGAUAUCUGGAAGAACACCAGUUGCGAAGGCGGUCUCUUGGUCCGACACUGACGCUGAGGCGCGAAAGCGUGGGGAGCAAACA
rnacentral:rRNA from 1 species